rnacentral:rRNA from 1 species
CUGCAUGGCUGUCGUCAGCUCGUGUCGUGAGAUGUUGGGUUAAGGUCCCGCAACGAGCGCAACCCUUGCCUUUAGUUGCCAGCAGUUCGGCUGGGCACUCUAAAGGGACUGCCGGUGUUAAACCGGAGGAAGGUGGGGAUGACGUCAAGUCCUCAUGGCCUUUAUGACCAGGGCUACACACGUACUACAAUGGCCGAUACAAAGGGCAGCGACACUGCGAGGUGAAGCCAAUCCCGUAAAAUCGGUCUCAGUCCGGAUUGGAGUCUGCAACUCGACUCCAUGAAGUUGGAAUCGCUAGUAAUCGUGGAUCAGCAUGCCACGGUGAAUACGUUCCCGGGCCUU